rnacentral:rRNA from 1 species
CAGCAGCCACGGUAAUACGUAGGUGGCAAGCGUUAUCCGGAAUUAUUGGGCGUAAAGCGCGCGUAGGCGGUUUUUUAAGUCUGAUGUGAAAGCCCACGGCUCAACCGUGGAGGGUCAUUGGAAACUGGAAAACUUGAGUGCAGAAGAGGAAAGUGGAAUUCCAUGUGUAGCGGUGAAAUGCGCAGAGAUAUGGAGGAACACCAGUGGCGAAGGCGACUUUCUGGUCUGUAACUGACGCUGAUGUGCGAAAGCGUGGGGAUCAAACAGGAUUAGAUACCCCUGUAGUCCCUGUCUCUUAUAC